rnacentral:rRNA from 1 species
GACGAACGCUGGCGGCGUGCUUAACACAUGCAAGUCGAACGAUGACGGUGGUGCUUGCACCACCUGAUUAGUGGCGAACGGGUGAGUAACACGUGAGUAACCUGCCCUUCACUUCGGGAUAACCUCGGGAAAUCGUGGCUAAUACCGGAUAUGAGCUCCUUCCGCAUGGUGGGGGUUGGAAAGAUUUAUCGGUGAAGGAUGGACUCGCGGCCUAUCAGUUUGUUGGUGAGGUAAUGGCUCACCAAGACGAUGACGGGUAGCCGGCCUGAGAGGGCGACCGGCCACACUGGGACUGAGACACGGCCCAG